rnacentral:rRNA from 1 species
AGAGCGAACGCUGGCGGCAGGCCUAACACAUGCAAGUCGAACGGACUCUUCGGAGUUAGUGGCGGACGGGUGAGUAACACGUGGGAACGUGCCUUUUGGUUCGGAAUAGCUCCUGGAAACGGGUGGUAAUGCCGAAUGUGCCCUUCGGGGGAAAGAUUUAUCGCCAUUAGAGCGGCCCGCGUCUGAUUAGCUAGUUGGUGAGGUAAAGGCUCACCAAGGCGACGAUCAGUAGCUGGUCUGAGAGGAUGACCAGCCACAUUGGGACUGAGACACGGCCCAAACUCCUACGGGAGGCAGCAGUGGGGAAUCUCGCGCAAUGGGCGAAAGCCUGACGCAGCCAUGCCGCGUGAAUGAUGAAGGUCUUAGGAUUGUAAAAUUCUUUCACCGGGACGAUAAUGACGGUACCCGGAGAAGAAGCCCCGGCUAACUUCGUGCCAGCAGCCGC